GGUCAUGGUUGUGCACCACGGGCUAGAUCUUCCUUUAAGGGUCUGUAGCUGCUUGGUUAAACUGUGAGGAGGGAAGGCGAGGCUGGUUUAGUUUCUUCUAGCGCCAGACAGAGAAAUAGGCUCAGUGUUUCUCAUGCGUUGGGGCGGCUCUGGGUUGACUGACAGAUCAAGAACAGGAAGGAUUGUACUUGCACAGGAAGCAGGAAGUCAGAACAGGAGCGAGUUCAGUUAAUCAUUGGUUGCAUCUGAAUUGGCACACUAUUCCUUAUAUAGUGCCUAUAGAGCAGGGGUAUUGAACUCUGACCCCACGAGGUCAGGGGAAUUGAAACUCUGACCCCACGAGGUCCGGAGCCUGCUGGGUUUCUGUUUUACCUGAUCAUUAUUGCACCAACCUGGUGUCCCAGGUCUAAAUCAGGCCCUGAUUAGAGGGGAAUCACUCACCUGGUGUCCCAGGUCUAAAUCAGGCCCUGAUUAGAGGGGAAUCACUCACCUGGUGUCCCAGGUCUAAAUCAGGCCCUGAUUAGAGGGGAAUCACCCACCUG